AUUGAACGCUAGCGGGAUGCUUUACACAUGCAAGUCGAACGGCAGCGCGGACUUCGGUCUGGCGGCGAGUGGCGAACGGGUGAGUAAUGUAUCGGAACGUGCCCAGUAGCGGGGGAUAACUACGCGAAAGCGUAGCUAAUACCGCAUACGUCCUACGGGGGAAAGCAGGGGAUCGUAAGACCUUGCACUAUUGGAGCGGCCGAUAUCGGAUUAGCUAGUUGGUGAGGUAACGGCUCACCAAGGCGACGAUCCGUAGCUGGUUUGAGAGGACGACCAGCCACACUGGGACUGAGACACGGCCCAGACUCCUACGGGAGGCAGCAGUGGGGAAUUUUGGACAAUGGGGGCAACCCUGAUCCAGCCAUCCCGCGUGUGCGAUGAAGGCCUUCGGGUUGUAAAGCACUUUUGGCAGGAAAGAAACGUCGCGGGCUAAUACCCCGUGGAACUGACGGUACCUGCAGAAUAAGCACCGGCUAACUACGUG
rnacentral:rRNA from 1 species